GGCUGAGUGGUGGAAUGGUAGACACAAGGGAUUUAAAAUCCCUCGGGCAUUGAGUCCCGUGCGAGUUCAAGUCUCGCCUCGGUCACCA
rnacentral:tRNA from 1 species